UGAGGAAUAUUGGACAAUGGGCGAGAGCCUGAUCCAGCCAUGCCGCGUGCAGGAAGACGGCCCUAUGGGUUGUAAACUGCUUUUAUACGGGAAGAAACACCCCCUCGUGAGGGGGCUUGACGGUACCGUAAGA
rnacentral:rRNA from 1 species